UAGGGAAUCUUCGGCAAUGGGGGCAACCCUGACCGAGCAACGCCGCGUGAGUGAAGAAGGUUUUCGGAUCGUAAAGCUCUGUUGUAAGAGAAGAACGUGUGUGAGAGUGGAAAGUUCACACAGUGACGGUAACUUACCAGAAAGGGACGGCUAACUACGUGCCAGCAGCCGCGGUAAUACGUAGGUCCCGAGCGUUGUCCGGAUUUAUGGGGCGUAAAGCGAGCGCAGGCGGUUUAAUAAGUCUGAAGUUAAAGGCAGUGGCUUAACCAUUGUUCGCUUUGGAAACUGUUAAACUUUAGUGCAGAAGGGGAGAGUGGAAUUCCAUGUGUAGCGGUGAAAUGCGUAGAUAUAUGGAGGAACACCGGUGGCGAAAGCGGCUCUCUGGUCUGUAACUGACGCUGAGGCUCGAAAGCGUGGGGAGCAAACAGG
rnacentral:rRNA from 1 species